rnacentral:rRNA from 1 species
UACGGGGGGGAGCAAGCGUUGUUCGGAUUUACUGGGCGUAAAGGGCGCGUAGGCGGUCAGCACAAGUCAGUUGUGAAAUCUCCGGGCUUAACUCGGAAAGGUCAACUGAUACUGUGCGACUAGAGUGCAGAAGGGGCAACUGGAAUUCUCGGUGUAGCGGUGAAAUGCGUAGAUAUCGAGAGGAACACCUGCGGCGAAGGCGGGUUGCUGGGCCGACACUGACGCUGAUGCGCGAAAGCCAGGGAGCGAACGGG